rnacentral:rRNA from 1 species
CCCCUAGAUGUUCUGGGCCGCACGCGCGCUACACUGAACAGUUCAACAAGUCUUAACCUUGGCCGAUAGGUCUGGGCAAUCUUUGAACGCUGGUCGUGAUGGGGAUAGACUUUUGCAAUUUUUGGUCUUCAACGAGGAAUUCCUAGUAAACGCAAGUCAUCAACUUGCAUUGAUUACGUCCCUGCCCUUUGUACACACCGCCCGUCGCACCUACCGAUUGAAUGGUCCGGUGAAGCCUCCGGAUUGGCGCGCACCUCGGUGCCGCCGAGAAGUUGGCUAAACCUUACCAUUUAGAGGAAGGUGAANUCGUAACA